GCACAGCCUUCUGCUGACGCUGCUUCUGCCCAGAGGGCGCCGCAGGAGGGGCCGCUCACAGGAUGUCCCUCCCGGAGGGGCUCCUGGAGGACUGCCGUCCCGGGUCCCACCCUUGGCCAUGAAUUGACACCUUGGAAGGCAGGUCGGGGGUCGGAGGCCUCAACAGCCUGGACUCGGACUCCUGGGCAGGUUGGAGGAGCCCUUCCUCGCUGCACCCUAAGAAGCCUCCACUCCCGCCUUCAGGAACUCGCUUGCUGGACGCACAGCUAACCCUGGCCCUGGGGCUAGGCUCCCGAGAGCCCGCGCAGGAAGACAGCCCAUAGGUGGCCCAGCCCCCUAAACCUCAGGCCUUUGCCUGCGGAGGGGUCCAGGAGAGCUCCCUGCAGUGCAGUGCCCCAGAAGAGCGUGUCCUUAAACUGACUCCGCCCUGUGGGUGUGGCCCAGCGGGAGAGGCAGGUCUUGAGCCCAUUCCUGAAGGAGGAAAGCCCCGGGAGCAGCUGCUCCUGGAAGUCAGCAGACCCGGAAGACCAGGGAGAAGACGCCGCCACACGUGCUGCCACGUUGACAGAAAAGUCAAAGACCGAGGCUCACGGGCAACCAGCCCCAGAGCGCCACAGGCUUCAGGAGAAAGCGGCGCCUUGCUGAGCCUUGGUCUUGGGCUUCUCCCGGCCUCAAAACCGUGAGCUGAUAAAUUCUCACUGUUUCAGCCGAGCCACUGCAGGUAUCUGUUUUAGCACUUAGGAAACUAAGACAAGAAUAAACUCAGAAAAUUCAAACUCCAAGAUACUUGUGCCUGAUGGAAUUCAAUCACCCUGACACCAGACUGUACCCAAGCACCCCAAAUACAGAUGCAGCCUUAGCUUGAGCGUAUGGCGGUCAGUGAAGUCGUGGAUAGCAUUCCUCACACACACAUUCUGUUUCCAUGUAAUUAAACUGGAUUCCAUUUUUAAACAUGUAUCAUGUCAAAUAAAUGUGGU